rnacentral:rRNA from 1 species
AUGCGGAGGUCGGACUGGGAGGACCGGUGCCGGCGGCACCCGGAGCACCGGCUGUCCAAGGGCGUGUGCCCGAGCUGCCUCCGCGAUCGCCUCGCCCACCUCUCCGCCAACUCCUCCGCCACCACCACCCUGACGCGCGCCUCCAACUCGGCCAGCACCUCCCCCUACUCCUCCACCGACUCCCCUCCGCUCCACCACGCAGCCCUCUCCGCCGACGCCACCUCCGUCCACGUCGUCGGCGCCGGCGCCGGCUCCUCCUUCGUCAACGUCUCCGCCUUCUCGCAGCCGCUCAUGCCGACGGCCUCAAAGAAACCAGCAGAAGCCAAGGGAAAGGACGGCGAGGCGAAGAAGAAGAAGAAGAGCAGCAGCAAGAAGAAGAUCGGGAGGUUCCUGUCGAGGCUGGUCGGGACGGAGAAGCGGCGGAAAACAGGGGAAGGCGACGGCGGCGAGCUCUUCCAUUCCAGCACCAUGAAGGAGAAGUCGUCGACCAAGUGGGUCUUCUUUUGA